UGUGUAGGCGGUUCUUUAAGUUUGGUGUGAAAUCUCCCGGCUCAACCGGGAGGGUGCGCCGAAUACUGAGGGACUCGAGUGCGGGAGAGGAAAGUGGAAUUCCUGGUGUAGCGGUGAAAUGCGUAGAUAUCAGGAGGAACACCGGUGGUGUAGACGGCUUUCUGGACCGUAACUGACGCUGAGACACGAAGGCGUGGGUAGCAAACAGGAUUAGAUACCCUGGUAGUCCACGCCCUAAACGAUGCAUAUUUGGUGUGGGUCAUUCAGUUGAUCCGUGCCGGAGCUAACGCGUUAAAUAUGCCGCCUGGGGAGUACAGUCGCAAGGCUGAA
rnacentral:rRNA from 1 species